UACAGAGGUCUCAAGCGUUUGUUCGGAUUCAUUGGGCGUAAAGGGUGCGUAGGUGGCGCCGUAAGUCAGGUGUGAAAUUUCGGAGCUUAACUCCGAAACUGCAUUUGAUACUGCGGUGCUUGAGGACUGGAGAGGAGACUGGAAUUUAACGGUGUAGCAGUGAAAUGCGUAGAGAUCGUAAGGAAGACCAGUGGCGAAGGCGGGU
rnacentral:rRNA from 1 species